AUUCAGGCUUUUGAAUCGCUCAAUUCUGAUGUCCGAGCUAGGAGUUAGGCCCCAAUUACGAUUUUGAGCCUAGAUGAGCAUGAAACAGACGCGAAAAAUCGGACUUCAAGGAAUUCAGAUUCUGAGCUCACGAACCCCUUAGAAAUGGUAAAAAACAAUUCAGGCUUUUGAAUCGUUCAAUUCUGAUGUCCGAGCUAGGAGUUAGGCCCAAAUUACGAUUUUAGGUCUAGAUGAGCAGGAAACAGACGCGAAAAAUCGGAGUUCAAGGAAUUCAGAUUCUGAGCUACGAACCCCUUAGAAAUGGUAAAAAAAACAAUUCAGGCUUUUGAAUCGCUCAAUUCUGAUGUUCGAGCUUUGAGUUAGGCCCAAAUUACGAUUUUAGGUCUAGAUGAGCAGGAAACAGACGCGAAAAAUCGGAGUUCAAGUAUUCAGAUUCUGAGCUAACGAACCCCAUAGAAAUGGUAAAAAAAAAAACAA